rnacentral:rRNA from 1 species
CCUACGGGAGGCAGCAGUAGGGAAUAUUGCUCAAUGGGCGAAACCCUGAAGCAGCAACGCCGCGUGGAGGAUGAAGGUUUUAGGAUUGUAAACUCUCUUUGUUAGAGAAGAUUAUGACGGUAUCUAACGAAUAAGCACCGGCUAACUCCAUGCCAGCAGCCGCGGUAAUACGGGGGGUGCAAGCGUUACUCGGAAUCACUGGGCGUAAAGAGUGCGUAGGGGGGGUAAUAAGUUAAAUGUGAAAUCCUGUAGCUUAACUCCAGAAAUGCAUUUGAAACUGUUACUCUGGAGUGUGGGAGAGGUAGGUGGAAUUCUUGGUGUAGGGGUAAAAUCCGUAGAGAUCAAGAAGAAUACUGAUUGCGAAGGCGACCUGCUGGAACAUGACUGACGCUGAUGCACGAGAGCGUGGGGAGCAAACAGGAUUAGAUACCCUGGUAGUC